rnacentral:lncRNA from 1 species
CAAAAUACGACCACUCCAACCAGCAGUUCCCGCCUGCCUGCCCGCCACUGUCAGGGGAGACCAGGUCAGGGCAGCUACAUUUCUGGUGAUCAGCCCCAUGGGGAGACGGGGCUGGCGGGAUACCCCCCCCCCGGCUUCCCCACACCACUUCUGUCUCACCCGGAAGCGUCCUUUUUUUGUGCCAGGUGUCUACCUAAGAGGGUUGGUGCCAGAAGCCCCCCAUGGCGAGUGCUGGGGCCCGGCGGUGCCCUGGGGGAGCAGAUGGGGCCACCCCUGGCAGGGCCGCUACAACCUUUUCCAGCAGCGGAGCCCUCUGGGGGGCCUGUGCUUGUGGCAUCUCUGAGGGCCUAGAUUGCACAAGGUGACCUGGCCGUGGCCUGAGGGUGGAGUCGCCCAGCACGCAGGCCGGGGCGCUGCGGGGCUAAGUAUUAGGCCUUCCCAGGGAGGGGGCGUGCCAAGCAUCCCAGAGCCGGGCUGGGACCGCCAAAACGUCGUGGCCUGGAUCCUCUGGGUCUGAGUGCCUGAUCCCCUGCCCCCCAAAAAAGCAGAGGUAGGUGUUGCAGGCCCAGGGCAGGGGUGCCUGCCCCAGGAGAGUCCCAGGCAGUGGUUCUCGUGCCAGUGGCACCCAGGGGCAAGGACAGCCAACCCCCACCCUUGCCACGUGUGGGGCCACGUGGGCAUGUGGGGUGUGUGUUUUUACCUUGGUGAAUCUCACCUGCCAACGAUUUCUCGUGAGUGCCGACCACCUUCUCCGACCAUGUUACGCCCGGGCGGCAGCAGCCCCCGGCCACUGCAAACCCAUGCCCUGGGUCCCCCGGCUCCCCCAGGGAGGCAUCCCCGUGCCAAUGUCCCCCAGUGGUGGCAGCAGAUCCUGUGGCCGGCCUGGCGGACGGGACCCAGUGAUACUUGUAUAUUACACAGUCCUGAUUUCAGACAAUUUCAACCUUAAUCUAUUUAAAAAAGAAUAUUCUAUACAAGCUGUUUUUAAGCCUUUUACCAUUUGAAAUGCAUGUGUUGUGCGCGUUGGGGAUGGGAGGAGGGGCUGAGGAGCGGCUCAGUGUCACCUCCCACAGCCACCGGCCCUGACCCUUAAUCCAGACACCGAUGGAAGUCGACUUUUCAUAUCUUUCUCCUGAAAUGAACUCUGUUUUAAAUUGGAAUAAAUUUUGUUCCUAAAU